GGCCCGUUCGUCUAGGGGUCUAGGACAUCUCCCUUUCACGGAGGAAACACGGGUUCGAUUCCCGUACGGGCUACCA
rnacentral:tRNA from 2 species